rnacentral:rRNA from 1 species
AUUGAACGCUGGCGGCAGGCCUAACACAUGCAAGUCGAGCGGAUGAAGGGAGCUUGCUCCUGGAUUCAGCGGCGGACGGGUGAGUAAUGCCUAGGAAUCUGCCUGGUAGUGGGGGAUAACGUCCGGAAACGGGCGCUAAUACCGCAUACGUCCUGAGGGAGAAAGUGGGGGAUCUUCGGACCUCACGCUCUCAGAUGAGCCUAGGUCGGAUUAGCUAGUUGGUGGGGUAAAGGCCUACCAAGGCGGCGAUCCGUAACUGGUCUGAGAGGAUGAUCAGUCACACUGGAACUGAGACACGGUCCAGACUCCUACGGGAGGCAGCAGUGGGGAAUAUUAGACAAUGGGCGAAAGCCUGAUCCAGCCAUGCCGCGUGUGUGAAGAAGGUCUUCGGAUUGUAAAGCACUUUAAGUUGGGAGGAAGGGCAGUAAGUUAAUACCUUGCUGUUUUGACGUUACCAACAGAAUAAGCACCGGCUAACUUCGUG